UCCCUGUGUAUUUGCUCCGUAUAGACGCCAUUACGAGUCAUAUUUGUUUUAUGUGAUUCCGUGGGAUUUACCCGCCGCUUUAAAGACGCCAUGGAGAUCAAAGAGGCUGGGGAAGGAGACGGUGGCUGAGUGGUUAGCGUGCCGGUCCUGCGUUCGCCGCAUCAAGGAUGAGGAGGGUUUGAAUCCACCGCUGCCACAGUCUACCUGUCCUGAAGACCACCACCAUCAUCCUGGACUGUAUGGGACUGUCCAAGGGAAAGCAAGAUGGGGCCGCUAUAAACACUUGCCGGCUUGGGCCCACCACCAGGCCCAGCCAAGGGAGGUUGGUGUAGCAGUGCUGGGAGGUGCCAUAACACAGGGCACUCCUCACCUCAACAACAGUCUCUUCACCGACAAGUAAUUCUUCACCAACAAGCUUUUCAGCAGCUUGGAGAAAUAGAGGAAGAAGAGGAGGAAGAAGAAGAGAAGAUGAAGAGGAAGAAGAGGAGGAGGAGGAUAAGGACUUGGUUGGUGUAGCAGUGCUGGGAGGUGCCAUAACACAGGGCACUCCUCACCUCAACAACAGUCUCUUCACCGACAAGUAAUUCUUCACCAACAAGCUUUUCAGCAGCUUGGAGAAAUAGACACUACCAAACGAAGAAGAGGAGGAGGAGGAGGAGGAAGAAGAAGACGAGGAACACAGGAGGAACCCAUUGAAUUGAAUGGCUGGCGUCUCGGUCUGCCUGCCUGCGGGACACCCCACACUCUGGAAGAAGAAAGAACAAGAUGUCAAGUUCCUGCAUAAUCAGCCUCUUAGUGAAGGAAAUGUGCUCUAUUUAUUUAAUAAAUGAUUGACAAAA